rnacentral:sRNA from 1 species
GGAAGGAUCAUUACCGAAUUGUCAACAUGAAGUUGUUGCUGGCCCUCAAAUGGGGGCAUGUGCACACUCUGUUUACACAUCCACUCACACCUGUGCACUCUCUGUAGUACUGUGGUCUGGGGGUUCCGUCCUCCUACUGUGGUUCUGCAUAUUUAUACACACACACUGUAAUAAAGUCUCAUGGAAUGUAUACCGCGUUUAACGCAAUGAAAUACAACUUUCAGCAACGGAUCUCUUGGCUCUCGCAUCGAUGAAGAACGCAGCGAAAUGCGAUAAGUAAUGUGAAUUGCAGAAUUCAGUGAAUCAUCGAAUCUUUGAACGCACCUUGCGCCCUUUGGCUAUUCCGAAGGGCAUGCCUGUUUGAGUAUCAUGAACACCUCAACUCUCAUGGCUUGCCAUGAUGAGCUUGGACUUGGGGGUUUUGCUGGCCUACAGUCAGCUCCCCUCAAAUGCAUCAGCUUUCCAGUGUUUGGUGGCACCACAGGUGUGAUAAACAUCUACACGUGUGGUUCCCCACCAUGUAACCUUCAGUGAUGGAGGUUUGCUGGAGCUCACAAAUGUCUUUCCUCAGUGAAGACAGUUCUUUGAUUGUUUGAUCUCAAAUCAGGUAGGACUACCCGCUGAACUUAAGCAUAUCAAUAAGCGGAGGAAAAGAAACUAACAAGGAUUCCCCUAGUAACUGCGAGUGAAGCGGGAAGAGCUCAAAUUUAAAAUCUGACGUGCCUCUGGCCGUCCGAGUUGUA